ACUGGUGAAACUGUGGCUAUCAAAAAGGUUCUUCAAGACGAGGUAUAAGAACCGGGAAACUUGCCAAGAUUAAGGAAGAACAAGGGCUUAUAGCUGAGGCUGCUGAUUUGAUGCAAGAAAUUGCGGUCAACGUGAAUUUGUCAUGUUUUUAUGGCUUAUGUAUAUCUUUGAUUUUUGGAUCUAAUCAUGAUGUUCCAAUCACUCCAGAUGAGGUAUGAUGCUUAGUUUUGUCAUGUGCUGCUAGUUACUGCGCCAUCGGCCAUGGCAGCGGCGUCGUGGAUAUAAUUAUAACCCUGUAAAAUGAAGUUCCUGUAAAAUGAAGUUCCUAAUGCAUUCUUCUUUUCUUUUUACUGUCCUAGUUGAACAAUGAUCUUUGUAAUUUUGUCUUUAGCUGUUAAAGUAGUUUUUAUAUAAGUUAUAUGAUAAAUACUUAUGUCGCAAGUGCUUAAUUAACCGCUUAUUUUUUGAAUGUCCUGUGUUUUAUGCAGUUGUUUUCUAGGUCAAUGAAAUGAGAGAUAGACCUUCAUGCAAAGUUUCUCAAUGUUGAGAAUGUACUUGGCUUACACGAGGCUCUUCAGAGAUAAAUAGUAGCUUUGAUGAAUGUAGAAGGAAUCAAUAAGGAACUUGUUGCAAGCCAUCUCCACAUUACAUUUUCUUUAAUAUUGUUAUUUACAAAUCUGUUGUUGCUAAAGCAGCUGUCUGUUUGGAUGGACCAUUGCCUGCUUAUCAUUUCAACCGUGGAUUCGGAUAGGGAGCAAACAGCUGACUUGUUAAUUUAGAGGGACGUGCGUGGAUCAUCAAAUUUCAUGGAGAAGGCGAUUCCUUUUAUGGGAAUAAUGAGCAAUAAUGCUCAAGAGAAUCCAGAUUUUUCAUCAUAUAAGUUUCCUACAAAAUGGCUGGCCAUCAAUCUCACUCAGAAUUAUGAUUAUUGUUGUGGUGGUUUGGAGGCCAGAUAUCCGGUGGUACCGUAUCUUACUGUUUUAAUCUGAAUGUGAAUCUAGCUAGCUCUGAGGUGAAAAAUUAUGUCUGUUGGGGAUUUCUCAUAAUCCAACUAUUCCGGGAGAGGACGAAGCUAGUAGUCCAAUAAUGAAAGUGAUCAAACAAAUGAAGUUGGCGUCGAUGAAUUAGAUGAAGAAGACCUUAGUAAUAAAUUCUGAUUUGUACUGUUUUUCUUGUUGACUUGGUGUAUCUUUUUAACUUGGGUGGACAAAUGAUCAUUAGUAGCUUGGUUCU